CAAGUAAAACCGUUUGAAGCCGCAUUCUUCUGCAUAAAUAAAGUCCAGUCAGCUUUUAGGAUUUUUUUUUUUUUUUUUUUUUUUUUUUUUUUUUUUUUUUUUUUUUUUUUUUUUUUUUUUUUUUUUUUUUUUUUUUUUUUUUUUUUUUUUUUUUUUUUUUUUUUUUUUUUUUUUUUUUUUUUUUUUUUUUUUUUUUUUUUUUUUUUUUUUUUUUUUUUUUUUUUUUUUUUUUUUUUUUUUUUUUUUUUUUUUUUUUUUUUUUUUUUUUUUUUUUUUUUUUUUUUUUUUUUUUUUUUUUUUUUUUUUUUUUUUUUUUUUUUUUUUUUUUUUUUUUUUUUUUUUUUUUUUUUUUUUUUUUUUUUUUUUUUUUUUUUUUUUUUUUUUUUUUUUUUUUUUUUUUUUUUUUUUUUUUUUUUUUUUUUUUUUUUUUUUUUUUUUUUUUUUUUUUUUUUUUUUUUUUUUUUUUUUUUUUUUUUUUUUUUUUUUUUUUUUUUUUUUUUUUUUUUUUUUUUUUUUUUUUUUUUUUUUUUUUUUUUUUUUUUUUUUUUUUUUUUUUUUUUUUUUUUUUUUUUUUUUUUUUUUUUUUUUUUUUUUUUUUUUUUUUUUUUUUUUUUUUUUUUUUUUUUUUUUUUUUUUUUUUUUUUUUUUUUUUUUUUUUUUUUUUUUUUUUUUUUUUUUUUUUUUUUUUUUUUUUUUUUUUUUUUUUUUUUUUUUUUUUUUUUUUUUUUUUUUUUUUUUUUUUUUUUUUUUUUUUUUUUUUUUUUUUUUUUUUUUUUUUUUUUUUUUUUUUUUUUUUUUUUUUUUUUUUUUUUUUUUUUUUUUUUUUUUUUUUUUUUUUUUUUUUUUUUUUUUUUUUUUUUUUUUUUUUUUUUUUUUUUUUUUUUUUUUUUUUUUUUUUUUUUUUUUUUUUUUUUUUUUUUUUUUUUUUUUUUUUUUUUUUUUUUUUUUUUUUUUUUUUUUUAUAUGCUGUAUGGGAAUAAUGACCAGCUGACUAGUUAUUCCUCACACAUUAAAAAACAGUAA
rnacentral:lncRNA from 12 species